GACAGAACUGCUCAGACCAGCAAAGUGUAAAGAGACAAUAUUAAAUCAGAUAAUCUAUGGUGUUGCCAUACGUGUGGCAGUUGGGAUCCACACCCUUGUAUCACCCACAGGGGUGUAUGAUAUAUAGAUCCUUGAUCACACUCAACGCAUCGCAAUAAAGACCUCAACCCCGUA
rnacentral:lncRNA from 1 species